rnacentral:rRNA from 1 species
GACGAACGCUGGCGGCGUGCUUAACACAUGCAAGUCGAACGGUAAGGCCCUUCGGGGUACACGAGUGGCGAACGGGUGAGUAACACGUGGGUGAUCUGCCCUGCACUUCGGGAUAAGCCUGGGAAACUGGGUCUAAUACCGGAUAGGACCCUGGGAUGCAUGUCCUGGGGUGGAAAGCUUUUGCGGUGUGGGAUGGGCCCGCGGCCUAUCAGCUUGUUGGUGGGGUGAUGGCCUACCAAGGCGACGACGGGUAGCCGGCCUGAGAGGGUGACCGGCCACACUGUGCCUGGGAUACGGCCCAGACUCCUACGGGAGGCAGCAGUGGGGAAUAUUGCACAAUGGGCGCAAGCCUGAUGCAGCGACGCCGCGUGAGGGAUGACGGCCUUCGGGUUGUAAACCUCUUUCAGCACCGACGAAGCGCAAGUGACGGUAGGUGCAGAAGAAGGACCGGCCAACUACGUGCCAGCAGCCGCAGUAA